rnacentral:rRNA from 1 species
UACCAGCUCUCCGAGUGGUAGGGAUGUUUAUUGGGCUUAAAGCGUCCGUAGCCGGCCCAGAAAGUCCUCCGUUAAAUCCAACGAUUUAAUCGCUGGACUGCAGGGGAUACUCUUGGGCUUGGGGACGGGAGAGGUCGACGGUAUUCUCGGAGUAGGGGUGAAAUCCUAUAAUUCCGGGAGGACCACCAGUGGCGAAGGCUGUCGACUGGAACGAGCUCGACGGUGAGGGACGAAAGCUGGGGGAGCGAACCGGAUUAGAUACCCGGGUAGUCCCAGCCGUAAACGAUGCGGGCUAGGUGUUAGGGUGGCUACGAGCCACUUUAGUGCCGCAGCGAAGGCAUUAAGCCCGCCGCCUGGGGAGUACGGCCGCAAGGCUGAAACUUAAAGGAAUUGGCGGGGGAGCACCACAAGGCGUGAAGCGUGCGGUUU